UCCCAGGUGGCUCAGAGGGUAAAGAAUCUGCCUGUAGUGCAGGAGACUCAGGCUUGAUCCCUGGGUUGGGAA
rnacentral:tRNA from 1 species